UACAGAGGUGGCAAGCGUUGUUCGGAAUUACUGGGCGUAAAGGGCGCGUAGGCGGCCCGUCAAGUCCCGUGUGAAAGCCCCCGGCUCAACCGGGGAACGGCGCGGGAAACUAGCAGGCUUGAGUUCGGGAGAGGGAUGCGGAAUUCCAGGUGUAGCGGUGAAAUGCGUAGAUAUCUGGAGGAACACCGGUGGCGAAGGCGGCAUCCUGGACCGAUACUGACGCUGAGGAGCGAAAGCCAGGGGAGCAAACGGG
rnacentral:rRNA from 1 species